GAUGAACGCUGGCGGCGUGCCUAAUACAUGCAAGUCGAGCGAACAGACGAGGAGCUUGCUCCUCUGACGUUAGCGGCGGACGGGUGAGUAACACGUGGAUAGCCUACCUAUAAGACUGGGAUAACUUCGGGAAACCGGCGCUAAUACCGGAUAAUAUAUUGAACCGCAUGGUUCAAUAGUGAAAGACGGUUUUGCUGUCACUUAUAGAUGGAUCCGCGCCGCAUUAGCUAGUUGGUAAGGUAACGGCUUACCAAGGCAACGAUGCGUAGCCGACCUGAGAGGGUGAUCGGCCACACUGGAACUGAGACACGGUCCAGACUCCUACGGGAGGCAGCAGUAGGGAAUCUUCCGCAAUGGGCGAAAGCCUGACGGAGCAACGCCGCGUGAGUGAUGAAGGUCUUCGGAUCGUAAAACUCUGUUAUUAGGGAAGAACAAAUGUGUAAGUAACUAUGCACGUCUUGACGGUACCUAAUCAGAAAGCCACGGCUAACUACGUG
rnacentral:rRNA from 1 species